rnacentral:rRNA from 1 species
GACGAACGCUGGCGGCGUGCUUAACACAUGCAAGUCGAACGCUGAAGCUCCCUGCUUGCAGGGGGUGGAUGAGUGGCGAACGGGUGAGUAACACGUGAGUAACCUGCCCCGAACUCUGGGAUAAGCGCUGGAAACGGCGUCUAAUACUGGAUAUGUCCCAUCACCGCAUGGUGUGUGGGUGGAAAGAUUUAUCGGUUCGGGAUGGACUCGCGGCCUAUCAGCUUGAUGGUGAGGUAAUGGCUCACCAUGGCGACGACGGGUAGCCGGCCUGAGAGGGUGACCGGCCACACUGGGACUGAGACACGGCCCAGACUCCUACGGGAGGCAGCAGUGGGGAAUAUUGCACAAUGGGCGCAAGCCUGAUGCAGCAACGCCGCGUGAGGGAUGACGGCCUUCGGGUUGUAAACCUCUUUUGUCAGGGAAGAAGCCUUCGGGUGACGGUACCUGGAGAAAAAGCACCGGCUAACUACGUGCCAGCCGCCGCCGUAAAAC